rnacentral:rRNA from 1 species
GAUCCUGGCUUAGGAUGAACGCUAGCUACAGGCUUAACACAUGCAAGUCGAGGGGCAGCAUGGUCUUAGCUUGCUAAGGCUGAUGGCGACCGGCGCACGGGUGAGUAACACGUAUCCAACCUGCCGUCUACUCUUGGCCAGCCUUCUGAAAGGAAGAUUAAUCCAGGAUGGGAUCAUGAGUUCACAUGUCCGCAUGAUUAAAGGUAUUUUCCGGUAGACGAUGGGGAUGCCG